rnacentral:lncRNA from 1 species
CAUCGCAGUCAUUGUUGUUUUUGUUACCAAUAAUAACUUUGGAAAUGUGUGCGUUUCUAUCAAACUCCAAGGCAUAGCGAUUGGUCUCCUCUACUAUGUCUCCCACCAGCUCCUCUGUCAGAAACAACUUGAAGCACUCUGCCUCAGGUGGAAAUGGCAAGGGGUGUUGCACUCCAGACUGGGACUCAUCAAAGCAAAGAGCAAGGCCAGGAGGGGUGAAAUGGCUGUCAGCCUUCCAGCUACCACAGAACUCCUGUACUUCAUCCACUGUCGGUCUGCCUCCAUCACCACCAGCAUCUUCAAAGGUACCUGGGACUUCGUCAGUGGACAAGGAGUCCUCAGAUUCAGGGUUCUCAAUGGCUACAAGCACAUAACAGGAACUGGCCCAACCACAAGCCUGCGGGGGCCCCAUCUCGUGAUAACAGCAACAGUGUCUGGCAUGCCCGACCCUGUGAAAACAGGAACAGGAACACGCACACACACAUAAGCCAUAGCUUAUCCAAGGCACACACACCCUUAUUUAGAGCUUUGAUAGAAACCUAACAUCAUCAGAACAUUGGACCUGAGCCAACCAGAGGAUCGGGACUUCAAGACUCAACCUACUUUCUGUGUUGUAUAAAACAUGUAAACAAACUGUUUUAGGCACUCUCUUCCGCUGGCUCCCUCAGAGCUACUGGAACGAGUCCGUGCACACUGUACCAAAUAUCUUCACUCUGAAUAAACUAUCGCUUGUCAUAUAAUUUAGCGCCUUGUCCGAAUCAGUCCUUGACCGACUCUCCCUUCUUCUCAUUCCAUUUACCAACAAUACUCAGACUUAUUGUCAGAACUUUUUUUAAAUCUCAAGAAUUUCCGCAUUUGUGAGCUGUCUCCUUUUGAAAGACAUUGCUAAUGCUACAGCUUAGCUCACUAGCUACAUACAUAAACAACAACACUGAUUGGCUCGAAGUGGGAGUGAGAGGUUACGUGAUUGACUGCCGACAUGCGCCACUUGUAUCAAUAAAUCCCUAUCAGAAAAUGUUGUGCGUGGU